UAAUACAAUGGGAAACUAAGCUGGGGCAUUCAGAAAAAGUGACAAUCCAGGGACAGGCUAGGGGAUAACAGGUGAAGAGAGCAAACAUUCCGGUUACUGAAUGUUUGUAACCUAGUUAAGGUAUAGCCUUGAUGGCUCUUUAGCAAACUAGAAACAAUGUAGCUCUGGGUAGUUUCAUGCUUUGCAGUAUUUCUUAGACUACAAAGUAAAGCAACCUGGUAUACAGGUUGUUAAUUCACUAUAGAUCAUCAAAAUGUUUAUCUUUGAAAAUCACUUCUCUGUUUGGUGGGGUACUCUUUGGGGUCAUUUCCUUAUGCUCUUUCUUAAAUGGAGUUUUCAUUUUGAUGUUAGUUUAUGUAUAAUAGGAUGAAAGAAGAUAUGUAAUUGAAGAAAAAAUCAUUGGACUAAAAUAUCAAUAACUGAAAAUGUUUAUGGUUGAUUAUUAUUUACAUUAUGGAAAGAUGCAAUUCUAGUACUUUGUUAGGAAACUGCAUUAAAGCAGUUCUGCCUUGUAUAAUCUGUAAGUACCUAUUAAGACAAAAUACUUCUAAAGAUACUUAUGAAAUGUAUACAUAUUUUUUCUUGCACGUUACAAAGGAAAUAUUCAAUUGCAUAACACAGGUGUGCAACAGACUUUUUUUAAUGCAUUUUUUCCCUUUCAUGAUACACUUGAAACAUUAGAUAGCUCAUUUCACUCUAUCUUAAAACCCUUCUGUUGUCUAUAAAGCUAAUACGGGUCAUAUGGGACCUUUGGAUUAACUGGAUCCACAUUCCCCAAUGACAUUUGCACCACAUACAAGAUAGCCAUGUCAUCAUCAUUUAACUCGUGAGCCUCUUUAGAACUAAAAUGGGUGUGAAAGAAUAAAAUUCAGUGUACUGUAAGUAUUCGCAGUAAUUCUAGUAGAAUUAGCUAUCAUAACAUGUUUAUUAUUAUAAUGAGCUGGCAUGACACAGAAAUCUAUUUUGUGUUUGUAUGACUUUUAUUUUGAAUAGGUUAAAUCUGGUGCCACUCCAUAUAUAGAGUGCUUUUGAAAAAAAUCUAUAAAAAGAAACAAAAAAAUAAUAAAUGAGUGAAUGCAAAAUAAGCAACUGUGCCUUUUAUACCUGUUGUUAUGGUAAAAAAACGGUUGUUGGGUUUGGACAAUGAGGGGAAAUGGGCUAUUCCCAACUUUUUUGAUCCUAUAUAUUUAUCCAUGCUUAUUUUCUGUUAGCUGCUGUUUCAUUUUGGUUGUGCACUAUAUAAACCAUAUUUCUUUUCUGUACCCAAGAAGGUCAAGUGAACUUUGCAUGCAUUAUACAUUAGGACACAUUUAUAAAUUGAGUAACUAUAUCAAUUUAUGUGUAUUAAAACAUCUUUAGCUUCAGUCUAAAAUCUGAACCUCUGAGGUUCAUUCUGAACCUCCAGAUAUCAUUAUGGUUUCUGACUGGCCUGCUGCCUGUGUUUCAGAAAACAAGAGAGGCACUAUUUUUAUGGGAAGAAAAACUAAGAUGGUACUGAAGAUGUCUGGCUGAAAGGUUACCCUAGGAAGCUGUCUUAUAGGAAAAUAAAACAGAGACACCAGAAGAAACUGCCAAGAAUCAAACAGCUAUCCUAAAACAGACAUGAGAAACACGAAGACCUCAACAGUUUUAGGUAUAUUGUAUCAGCAGUAAAUAUAAGACGAGUUCUUAAGGGGGAAAAGCAAAACAAAACAGUGAAGAUGAUCAUAAAUAUUGUAAAGUUGUUAGUUGUGACCUGGCAGAGGUAGAUAUAACAUCUGGAGGAAGGCAUCAUUUUUUCAGCUACCUAGGGUUUACUUUCAGACAAUUUUCCUACAUUUUAAAGCACUUGCAUUCAGUGUGGUACGAUCUGUUUGUAAUGUUGAUCAUUGACUAUUGUUCUGCUACUUGGAUGUUGAUAGUGAAGCAGAGGACAAUUUAUCAUCAUUUCUUAUGAAUCACUAUGCACGCAACUAUGCUAAACAUGGCGAAAUGUAUUAAACACUCGUCCAACUAUUUAUGAAAUACUUUACAUAAUUUAAUUUGCUUUUGUACAGUUUUAUGUAAAUAAAUUGCUUGUCUUUUUUGUCUCUGCAAAUUAAAAUAUAACAUGGUCAAAUGGU
rnacentral:lncRNA from 1 species